AAAUACUUGAGAGAUUGUAGACCGAAGCUUUGGAAACUUUUAAAUGUAGAAUUAUGGGAUUAGAUUUAAGUCCCAAGUAAAUCAGUAAUUUGGUUUACUUCUUGUUUUUUUUUUUUAUCAAGGGUUUUCUACUCAGUAAUUCAACGGGGGAGAAAAAGGAUGAUGAGAGGGCUCAAACCCCAUUCAGACUGAGUGAACCAAGGGGUAGCUGCAAGGUGGAGAUGAGGCAGAGGACGGAUGCUGUAGACGAAUGCGAAGGAGGCUCCUGAGAUCAGUUUACAGUAUGUAGCUGGUUUCGUGAUGAUGGUGAUUACGUACAGGGUUUUCCCUACUAAAGCUACCCAUGGCAACUUGCCAGAACAAAUCAGCCUUCAACAAAAUGAAGGUCUGAACAUGACAGUUCGGUACAGGCAUGAAGUCACAUUCGCCAGAUGUCCAUUUUUGGAUCAGUCUUUCUAAACCUGCCUUUCUACAUAAAUAAUUCACAUCUUCUCUCAACUAAAAGCUUUUACCCUGAUCUGCUGGUUUGGCAACCUAAAUCUGAGAAGCAAGAACAAACUGGGCAGCCUUGUGAAAAUAUGUCAGAAGUUCAUUGGUGCUGAUCUUCCAGCUCUCACCUCCAUCUAUCAUUCACGUGCUUUGCGUAAAUCAAAAUCCAUCUGCGGCGAUCCUUCACACUACUUGUUUAAUAAUAUCCAGU